rnacentral:rRNA from 1 species
UACGGAGGGUGCAAACGUUGUCCGGAAUCACUGGGCGUAAAGCGCAUGUAGGUGGUUUAGUAAGUCUGCGAUUAAAGACCGUCGCUUAACGACGGGACUGUUACAGAAACUACUUUACUUGAGGAUAGCAGAGGAACAUGGAACUUUGAGUGUAGGAGUGAUAUCCGUAGAUAUUCAAAGGAACACCAAUGGCGAAGGCAGUGCUCUGGGCUAUUUCUGACACUAAGAUGCGAAAGCGUGGGGAGCGAACGGG